UUAUGGUCGGCCCCACUCUGGCCCUGGAGGAGACCCAGAACAAAAAGGUCGGAUUGGGAAUGGGAGGG